rnacentral:rRNA from 1 species
UACGUAGGUGACAAGCGUUGUCCGGAUUUACUGGGCGUAAAGAGCGCGCAGGCGGUCGGAUAAGUCGAAUGUGAAAGCCCCCGGCUCAACUGGGGAGGGUCAUUCGAUACUGUUCGACUCGAAGGCAGGAGAGGGAAGUGGAAUUCCCAGUGUAGAGGUGAAAUUCGUAGAUAUUGGGAAGAACACCGGUGGCGAAGGCGGCCAUCUGGACCGCAACUGACGCUGAGGCGCGAAAGCGUGGGGAGCAAACAGG